UAAAAGAUAGUUUAGACUAAAAUAUUAGCUUUGGGAGCUAGUGAUGGAUUGUUUUUCCUCUUUUAA
rnacentral:tRNA from 1 species